rnacentral:rRNA from 1 species
GAUGAACGCUGGCGGCGUGCCUAAUACAUGCAAGUCGAGCGAACGGACGAGAAGCUUGCUUCUCUGAUGUUAGCGGCGGACGGGUGAGUAACACGUGGAUAACCUACCUAUAAGACUGGGAUAACUUCGGGAAACCGGAGCUAAUACCGGAUAAUAUUUUGAACCGCAUGGUUCAAAAGUGAAAGACGGUCUUGCUGUCACUUAUAGAUGGAUCCGCGCUGCAUUAGCUAGUUGGUAAGGUAACGGCUUACCAAGGCAACGAUGCAUAGCCGACCUGAGAGGGUGAUCGGCCACACUGGAACUGAGACACGGUCCAGACUCCUACGGGAGGCAGCAGUAGGGAAUCUUCCGCAAUGGGCGAAAGCCUGACGGAGCAACGCCGCGUGAGUGAUGAAGGUCUUCGGAUCGUAAAACUCUGUUAUUAGGGAAGAACAUAUGUGUAAGUAACUGUGCACAUCUUGACGGUACCUAAUCAGAAAGCCACGGCUAACUACGUGCCAGCAGCCGCGGUAAUACGUAGGUGGCAAGCGUUAUCCGGAAUUAUUGGGCGUAAAGCGCGCGUAGGCGGUUUUUUAAGUCUGAUGUGAAAGCCCACGGCUCAACCGUGGAGGGUCAUUGGAAACUGGAAAACUUGAGUGCAGAAGAGGAAAGUGGAAUUCCAUGUGUAGCGGUGAAAUGCGCAGAGAUAUGGAGGAACACCAGUGGCGAAGGCGACUUUCUGGUCUGUAACUGACGCUGAUGUGCGAAAGCGUGGGGAUCAAACAGGAUUGGAUACCCUGGUAGUCCACGCCGUAAACGAUGAGUGCUAAGUGUUAGGGGGUUUCCGCCCCUUAGUGCUGCAGCUAACGCAUUAAGCACUCCGCCUGGGGAGUACGACCGCAAGGUUGAAACUCAAAGGAAUUGACGGGGACCCGCACAAGCGGUGGAGCAUAUGGUUUAAUUCGAAGCAACGCGAAGAACCUUACCAAAUCUUGACAUCCUUUGACAACUCUAGAGAUAGAGCCUUCCCCUUCGGGGGACAAAGUGACAGGUGGUGCAUGGUUGUCGUCAGCUCGUGUCGUGAGAUGUUGGGUUAAGUCCCGCAACGAGCGCAACCCUUAAGCUUAGUUGCCAUCAUUAAGUUGGGCACUCUAAGUUGACUGCCGGUGACAAACCGGAGGAAGGUGGGGAUGACGUCAAAUCAUCAUGCCCCUUAUGAUUUGGGCUACACACGUGCUACAAUGGACAAUACAAAGGGCAGCGAAACCGCGAGGUCAAGCAAAUCCCAUAAAGUUGUUCUCAGUUCGGAUUGUAGUCUGCAACUCGACUACAUGAAGCUGGAAUCGCUAGUAUCGUAGAUCAGCAUGCUACGGUGAAUACGUUCCCGGGUCU